rnacentral:rRNA from 1 species
AGUGAACGCUGGCGGUAGGCCUAACACAUGCAAGUCGAACGGCAGCACAGUAAGAGCUUGCUCUUACGGGUGGCGAGUGGCGGACGGGUGAGGAAUACAUCGGAAUCUACUUUUUCGUGGGGGAUAACGUAGGGAAACUUACGCUAAUACCGCAUACGCCCUACGGGUGAAAGCAGGGGAUCUUCGGACCUUGCGCGAUUGAAUGAGCCGAUGUCGGAUUAGCUAGUUGGCGGGGUAAAGGCCAACCCAGGCGACGAUCCGUAGCUGGUCUGAGAGGAUGAUCAGCCACACUGGAACUGAGACACGGUCCAGACUCCUACGGGAGGCAGCAGUGGGGAAUAUUGGACAAUGGGCGCAAGCCUGAUCCAGCCAUACCGCGUGGGUGAAGAAGGCCUUCGGGUUGUAAAGCCCUUUUGUUGGGAAAGAAAAGCAGCAGGUUAAUACCCCGCUGUUCUGACGGUACCCAAAGAAUAAGCACCGGCUAACUUCGUG